rnacentral:rRNA from 1 species
GAUGAACGCUGGCGGCGUGCCUAAUACAUGCAAGUCGAGCGAACGGACGAGAAGCUUGCUUCUCUGAUGUUAGCGGCGGACGGGUGAGUAACACGUGGAUAACCUACCUAUAAGACUGGGAUAACUUCGGGAAACCGGAGCUAAUACCGGAUAAUAUUUUGAACCGCAUGGUUCAAAAGUGAAAGACGGUCUUGCUGCCACUUAUAGAUGGAUCCGCGCUGCAUUAGCUAGUUGGUAAGGUAACGGCUUACCAAGGCAACGAUGCAUAGCCGACCUGAGAGGGUGAUCGGCCACACUGGAACUGAGACACGGUCCAGACUCCUACGGGAGGCAGCAGUAGGGAAUCUUCCGCAAUGGGCGAAAGCCUGACGGAGCAACGCCGCGUGAGUGAUGAAGGUCUUCGGAUCGUAAAACUCUGUUAUUAGGGAAGAACAUAUGUGUAAGUAACUGUGCACAUCUUGACGGUACCUAAUCAGAAAGCCACGGCUAACUACGUGCCAGCAGCCGCGGUAAUACGUAGGUGGCAAGCGUUAUCCGGAAUUAUUGGGCGUAAAGCGCGCGUAGGCGGUUUUUUAAGUCUGAUGUGAAAGCCCACGGCUCAACCGUGGAGGGUCAUUGGAAACUGGAAAACUUGAGUGCAGAAGAGGAAAGUGGAAUUCCAUGUGUAGCGGUGAAAUGCGCAGAGAUAUGGAGGAACACCAGUGGCGAAGGCGACUUUCUGGUCUGUAACUGACGCUGAUGUGCGAAAGCGUGGGGAUCAAACAGGAUUAGAUACCCUGGUAGUCCACGCCGUAAACGAUGAGUGCUAAGUGUUAGGGGGUUUCCGCCCCUUAGUGCUGCAGCUAACGCAUUAAGCACUCCGCCUGGGGAGUACGACCGCAAGGUUGAAACUCAAAGGAAUUGACGGGGACCCGCACAAGCGGUGGAGCAUGUGGUUUAAUUCGAAGCAACGCGAAGAACCUUACCAAAUCUUGACAUCCUUUGACAACUCUAGAGAUAGAGCCUUCCCCUUCGGGGGACAAAGUGACAGGUGGUGCAUGGUUGUCGUCAGCUCGUGUCGUGAGAUGUUGGGUCAAGUCCCGCAACGAGCGCAACCCUUAAGCUUAGUUGCCAUCAUUAAGUUGGGCACUCUAAGUUGACUGCCGGUGACAAACCGGAGGAAGGUGGGGAUGACGUCAAAUCAUCAUGCCCCUUAUGAUUUGGGCUACACACGUGCUACAAUGGACAAUACAAAGGGCAGCGAAACCGCGAGGUCAAGCAAAUCCCAUAAAGUUGUUCUCAGUUCGGAUUGUAGUCUGCAACUCGACUACAUGAAGCUGGAAUCGCUAGUAAUCGUAGAUCAGCAUGCUACGGUGAAUACGUUCCCGGGUCU